AUCGAAUUAAAAUUUGUGUCUUUAUGAUUGAAUUUAGUUAAAAUAUACGUACGCCUCAAAUUAAACUAGUGGAGUGUGUCAAUUGGUUAUUACUUUUAAUCGAAAGUUUGAAGAUUCGCUCAAAUUGAGUCGCACCACACGUACCCCAGAAGGGAAGUUGAUAUCAUAAGUUCAAUUCUUUGGAAACUGAUCUCAGCGCAAAACAGGAGGAACUUAAUUUUUUAGACAGGGCUGCAAUAUAUAACGAGAAUUUUACAGCUUGAACGACGUCAAUGUUUUAGGAACGUUGAAGCAGAGAAGAUUAGAAUCGCACCAUGAUUUAAGGGCGAUUAGGUCACUAGAUAUGGUCCUAUGAAGUGCAAUGAGAUCAGGUUUGGCUAUAUUCACAAAGUAAUUAUUAAGUUAUAGAUUUCGGAAAACCAGCCAAACACGCUGGCUUAAGAUGAUGCUUCAUCACCAAAAGCCGAAGCGAGUUGAUCGCCACAAUGCUUUGGUUUAAUCCACGUCGAAAGUAAUAAGACUUCAUCGCACGAAAAUGUUGGGGAUUAAAUUCCAUUUUUUGACGAAAUACGCAAUAUUAUCGAAAUAAUUAAGUGAGUUUCUUACUAUACCAUUCAUUCAUAAAAAACAUAUUAAUUGUCAUUUCCAUAGUUCAUUUGCAUACAACUGUAUAUAAGCAUUUUAACAACACACAACUUCUGUGUGUUAAUAUUCUUUUUCGAUAGGGAAUAAAUCUUAUGGUUUUUGCCCAUUUUAGAAAAUUUUCUGUUAAAAAAUAUAGCAAACCAAAUCAGUCUGUCAUAUUUUCACAAUUUAUCUUAACUAAUAUAAAAAACCGGAAAAAAAUUUAAAUAGUAUUUAUCGAUAUUUCCUAAAUCAAUUUUUUCAUUUAAAAAAUUUAUUUGCGUACCGUAUCUAUAGAUUGUUGUAUCAUGGUGGUCUAGUAUAACGUAAAAAGACCAGCCUGAGCCCCUCGGACCUUAAAGAAUUAUCCGAAGUAGUUACGUACACUAAGUAACAGAAGCGGAAGAGAGAGUUGAAUGAACUUAUCAGAACAGCAGGUUCUUCGAUCGACGACUAUCUAUUUCGACGGAAAAUUAGCAUCGGUAUACUAAUUAUUUUACCGACGCUGCCAAUGUCCAGGGCACCCUUCAGGUUAUUUAACGCUCGAGGCUUUUCAAGCAUAUUAUUUAAUG